UUCUUGAUGGUCCAGUGGUUGAAAAUCACCUGGCGAUGCAGGGAGCGCAGGUUCAAUUCCUGCUCAGGGAA
rnacentral:tRNA from 1 species